GUCGUUAUAGUAUAGUGGUAAGUAUUCCCUCCUGUCACGUGGAUGACCCGGGUUCGAUCCCCUGUAACUGCG
rnacentral:tRNA from 1 species